rnacentral:rRNA from 1 species
UACGAAGGUGGCAAGCGUUACUCGGAAUUACUAGGCGUAAAGGGCAGGUAGGUGGUUUGAUAAGUCUGUUGUGAAAGCUCCCGGCUCAACUGGGAGAGGCCAACAGAAACUAUCAGACUUGAGUAUGGGAGAGGGUACUGGAAUUCCCGGUGUAGCGGUGAAAUGCGCAGAGAUCGGGAGGAACACCAAUGGCGAAAGCAGGUACCUGGACCAUUACUGACACUCAACUGCGAAAGCUAGGGGAGCAAACAGG